rnacentral:rRNA from 1 species
GGUUAAGCGACUAAGCGUACACGGUGGAUGCCCUGGCAGUCAGAGGCGAUGAAGGACGUGCUAAUCUGCGAUAAGCGCCGGUAAGGUGAUAUGAACCGUUAUAACCGGCGAUUUCCGAAUGGGGAAACCCAGUGUGAUUCGUCACACUAUCAUUAACUGAAUCCAUAGGUUAAUGAGGCGAACCGGGGGAACUGAAACAUCUAAGUACCCCGAGGAAAAGAAAUCAACCGAGAUUCCCCCAGUAGCGGCGAGCGAACGGGGAGGAGCCCAGAGCCUGAAUCAGCAUGUGUGUUAGUGGAAGCGUCUGGAAAGGCGCGCGAUACAGGGUGACAGCCCCGUACACAAAAGCGCAUGUGCUGUGAGCUCGAUGAGUAGGGCGGGACACGUGGUAUCCUGUCUGAAUAUGGGGGGACCAUCCUCCAAGGCUAAAUACUCCUGACUGACCGAUAGUGAACCAGUACCGUGAGGGAAAGGCGAAAAGAACCCCGGCGAGGGGAGUGAAAAAGAACCUGAAACCGUGUACGUACAAGC